rnacentral:rRNA from 1 species
AUUGAACGCUGGCGGCAUGCUUUACACAUGCAAGUCGAACGGUAACAGGCCUUCGGGUGCUGACGAGUGGCGAACGGGUGAGUAAUGCAUCGGAACGUGCCCAGAGGUGGGGGAUAACGCAGCGAAAGCUGUGCUAAUACCGCAUGUGAUCUGAGGAUGAAAGCGGGGGACCAAGCAGCAAUGUUUGGCCUCGCGCCUCUGGAGCGGCCGAUGUCAGAUUAGGUAGUUGGUGGGGUAAAGGCCUACCAAGCCGACGAUCUGUAGCUGGUCUGAGAGGACGACCAGCCACACUGGGACUGAGACACGGCCCAGACUCCUACGGGAGGCAGCAGUGGGGAAUUUUGGACAAUGGGCGCAAGCCUGAUCCAGCAAUGCCGCGUGCGGGAAGAAGGCCUUCGGGUUGUAAACCGCUUUUGUACGGAACGAAAGGGCUCUGGCUAAUACCUGGGGCUGAUGACGGUACCGUAAGAAUAAGCACCGGCUAACUACGUG